AAUUUUCCGCAAUGGGCGAAAGCCUGACGGAGCAAUACCGCGUGAGGGAGGAAUGCCUUUGGGUUGUAAACCUCUUUUCUCAGGGAAGAAGAUCUGACGGUACCUGAAGAAUAAGCAUCGGCUAACUCCGUGCCAGCAGCCGCGGUAAUACGGAGGAUGCAAGCGUUAUCCGGAAUUAUUGGGCGUAAAGCGUCCGCAGGUGGUUUUCAAAGUCCGCUGUUAAAGACUGGAGCUCAACUCCGGAAAGGCGGUGGAAACUUGAGAACUAGAGUUUGGUAGGGGUAGCAGGAAUUCCCAGUGUAGCGGUGAAAUGCGUAGAUAUUGGGAAGAACAUCGGUGGCGAAGGCGUGCUACUGGACCAUAACUGACACUCAGGGACGAAAGCUAGGGGAGCGAAAGGGAUUAGAUACCCCUGUAGUCAA
rnacentral:rRNA from 1 species